GUGUCAGCCGCCGCGGUAAUACGUAGGGUCCGAGCGUUAUCCGGUAUUAUUGGGCGUAAAGCGCGCGUAGGUGGUUUGGUGUGACUGUGGUGAAAGAUCCGGGCUCAACCCGGGGAACGCCACGGUGACUGCCAGACUAGACGAUAGCAGGGGCAAGCAGAAUUCUCGGUGUAGGAGUGAAAUCCGUUGAGAUCGAGAGGAAUACCAAUGGCGAAGGCAGCUUGCUAGGCUAUAUGUGACACUGAGGCGCGAAAGCGUGGGGAGCGAACGGGAUUAGAUACCCCCGUAGUCC
rnacentral:rRNA from 1 species